rnacentral:rRNA from 1 species
UCUACGGGGGGCUGCAGUGAGGAAUAUUGGUCAAUGGGCGGAAGCCUGAACCAGCCAAGUCGCGUGAGGGAAUAAGGCCCUACGGGUCGUAAACCUCUUUUGCCGGGGAGCAAGGGCGGGGACGUGUCCCGGCCCGGAGAGUACCCGGAGAAAAAGCAUCGGCUAACUCCGUGCCAGCAGCCGCGGUAAUACGGGGGAUGCGAGCGUUAUCCGGAUUUUUGGGGUUUAAAGGGUGCGUUGGCGGGCUUUUAAGUCAGCGGUAAAAAUUCGGGGUUCAAACCCGUACGGCCGUUGAAACUGGGGGCCUUGAGUGGGCGAGGGGAAGGCGGAAUGCGUGGUGUAGCGGUGAAAUGCAUAGAUAUCACGCAGAACCCCGAUUGCGAAGGCAGCCUUCCGG